AGGUACAAUCAAUCAAUUAUGAAGGUGAAAUUAUGUUGAUGCUGAGGCAGUAUGGGGAAACCUAAAUAGGUGGAGUACUCAAGUCACAGAAAAUCAUGAAAAUGAAGCUCAAGUGAUGGAUUAGUGAAGACGGAAGAGAAAACAUCCCGUCAUCUCUGUACUUGUGAUGCCUGAGAAGGAGCAAGUAUUUCACGAAUGUUUGUGGAGUAAAGAAAAAUUAUCAAGUCCUUUGAGAAAUGACUGCAGGAGAGGUAGGAGCAAUCGUUACUUUCUCCUGGGAGCCUGGAAGCUGCCUUGCCCCCACACUUCCCCUGUGUACUCCUCUUCACUUCUCACUGUGAAAAGGCAAAAUAAAAUGGAGAAGGAAAAGUGGAUGAGUGGAAGGUAAAAGGUCAAAGGUGAGUUACAAUUGAGUCUUCAGAGUUCAGCAGUUAGUGAAGUAAAGAGAAAAAGAGAAUGUACCAGUCCACCACAGAAGACCCCAGGAAACCCACAGCAGCCUUUGGGUACUUCCUCAGGGGAGGGGGCAAGCAUAAGAAUAACAGGGAGUUUAAAAUCCUGCUAAACUAUUUCUUCGCAAAGUUGUAUUUACUUUCUGAAGUGCCUGCUAUCAGUGCCCUAUAAUCAUAGAAUCAAAAAGGAAGAAAAAUGUUUAUUUUCAUGCAGUUGCUGCCUAUUACCAUGAAUGGAAAUAUAUUUAAUACCGAUGUUU